GGUGGCUCAAUGGUAGAGUGCUUGCUUCAUAUGCACGAGGCCCUGGGUUCAAUUCCUCAGCACCA
rnacentral:tRNA from 1 species